rfam:Colletotrichum orbiculare MAFF 240422 contig00968, whole genome shotgun sequence.
GGAAGGGUGGCCGAGUUGGUUAUGGCGCCAGGUUAAGGUCAACUUAACAUCUGUUUCCUGGUGGGGCAACCCGCGCGAGUUCGAGUCUCGUCCCUUUCA